rnacentral:rRNA from 1 species
GUGGAUUAGAUACCCUGGUAGUCCACGCCCUAAACGAUGUCUACUAGUUGUCGGGUCUUAAUUGACUUGGUAACGCAGCUAACGCGUGAAGUAGACCGCCUGGGGAGUACGGUCGCAAGAUUAAAACUCAAAGGAAUUGACGGGGACCCGCACAAGCGGUGGAUGAUGUGGAUUAAUUCGAUGCAACGCGAAAAACCUUACCUACCCUUGACAUGUCUGGAAUCCCUGAGAGAUUGGGGAGUGCUCGAAAGAGAGCCGGAACACAGGUGCUGCACGGCCGUCGCCAACU